ACCUCUCUAUCAUCAUCACCAUGGUAGGCACACACCUCCUCUCCCACUCUUGUUCCCUCCCCAAAACCUUCAAUCACUCAUUCACCAAAAACCCAUUACCCCAAAACUUCAUUCUCCCUCUCAAAUCCAAAUCCACCACCAAACCCAUUGUUCUCAGAGCAGUUCUAUCCAAAACCCCACCAGAAACCACCAAAAUCACUAAUUUUGACCAUUGUUUCAGCAAAUCCGAAGAUGGGUAUCUCCACUGUGAGAAUCUCAAGGUGGCUGAGAUUAUGGAAUCUGUUGAAAAACGACCUUUUUAUCUAUACAGUAAGCCACAGAUUAC
rnacentral:lncRNA from 1 species